rnacentral:tRNA from 1 species
GGAGGGUUGGCAGAGAGGCUUAUUGCAUCGGACUGCGAAUCCGAUGAACGGUGCUAGUCCACCGUUCCGUCCGUUCAAAUCGGACACCCUCCACCA